UGAAUAUUAUUAAGCAUUGCAUUUAUUAGAGUAAAAAUGAUUUUUGAUGCACACACUUCAUCUUUUCUGUUCUAUUAACAUGCUUAUGCAUUCCAGAAUCUGUAUGAAAAUCUGCAGAGUAUAGAAUUAAACAAGGGAAGGGGGGAUACCCAAAGUGUCUUCACCAAAAUCUUUUAGUUAUAAACAUGUCACACAAGGAGGAGACCACAUGCUGUUCUUAAAGACAUAAUGCAGUAAAUAUUUAAUUCAACAAAGGUUGAUGACCAUUCAGUCACAGUGAAGGCUUCUGACUCUAUAUUAGUUAUGAUGUCUGAUUGCCCCUAUGGAGGGUUUUAUCCAUGUAGGACAGCUCUCUCUGACUCAUCUUGAUAUCCUAAAUUGCAGGCGGCUUGCUUCUAAUGGGAUCUUGAUACAAAUUUGUUGAAGGAAUGAAUGAAAAAAAAUGGCAAAUGUGAAGACAAGAAUCCCCAAGAGGUUCUACAGAUGACAUAAUGAUGAUAAGGAUAAUGGUGGAGCUGAGAACUGAUUACACAUAUGAAACAGAUUUCACUACUGGACUUGAACUCCACAUUAAAAAACAACAGCUUCACAACGUAAUUGAAAAAGAUCCUCACCAAACAGUAGCUGUAAUGUGAAUGGCAGGAUAUCAAGGAAGUAAUAGAUAAAUUUUGAAUGAAAACAUCUUUGCUUUAUGAAAGAUAAAUACAAAAUAUUCCUCAUGGCCAAAGGUAACAUUCUUUCUCAGGAAAAAGUCAGAGGAUAGAGGAUUUUUUAAAUCAGAAAAAAUCUAAAUGUUACAAAUGAUGUUCGUUAAUCUACCUGCUAUUAAUUAUAGAUAUGCUAGAAUCUUUCUAGAAAUAUCAUUUUGGAGGAGUAAGCUUGCUUAACAAAGAAACCAUCUUCCACAAAAUACUGAUAGGGAAAUUUGCCAAUUUGUUGCCAUUUAGAAAUUUUGGUGUCCCAAAUUCAAAACUAGUCCUCAGGAAGACAAAGUACC
rnacentral:lncRNA from 1 species